AGAGUUUGAUCAUGGCUCAGGAUGAACGCUGGCGGCGUGCUUAAGACAUGCAAGUCGAACGCAGCCGCUCCGCAAGGGGUGGCUGAGUGGCGAAUGGGUGCGUAACACGUAGGUGACCUGCCCGGAAGUGGGGAAUAACAGUCCGAAAGGACUGCUAAUACCGCAUGCGGUGCGCGGGGUUAGAGACCCGCGUUCCAAAGGCGCGAGCAAUCGUGCCGCUUUCGGAGGGGCCUGCGGCCCAUCAGCUGGUUGGCAGGGUAACGGCCUACCAAGGCGACGACGGGUAGGGGACCUGAGAGGGUGACCCCCCACACUGGCACUGACACACGGGCCAGACUCCUACGGGAGGCAGCAGUCGGGAAUAUUGCCCAAUGGACGAAAGUCUGAGGCAGCAACGCCGCGUGCGCGAUGAAGGCCUUCGGGUCGUAAAGCGCUUUUCGGGUGGAUGAGAGCGGACAGUACACCCGGAAUCAGGUACGGCUAACUACGUGCCAGCAGCCGCGGUAAAACGUAGGUACCGAGCGUUAUCCGGAUUUACUGGGCGUAAAGCGCGUUCAGGCGGUCGGGCAAGUCGGGCAUGAAAUCUCUCGGCUCAACCGGGAGAGGUUGUCCGAUACUGCCGGACUGGAGGGCAGUAGAGGGUGGUGGAAUUCCGGGUGUAGUGGUGAAAUGCGUAGAGAUCCGGAGGAACACCAGUGGCGAAAGCGGCCACCUGGACUGCACCUGACGCUGAAACGCGAAAGCUAGGGGAGCGAACGGGAUUAGAAACCCCGGUAGUCCUAGCUAUAAACGAUGUUGACUAGGUGUUGGCGGUCUAAACCCCGUCAGUGCCGCAGCAAACGCAUUAAGUCAACCGCCUGGGGACUACGGCCGCAAGGUUAAAACUUAAAGGAAUUGACGG
rnacentral:rRNA from 1 species